GAGAACCCCGAACAACCCAAUCUACUAAUCUCCGAUACCGCUUUGUACUUAUGAUCUUGUAUCCACUGACUAUCUUGUUAGAUUAACCCAAUAAAUUUCAUUCACUCUGCAUAUUCAAUCCUAUAGACACCCUUUUAAUUCUUCAAUCACAGACGUAACUCGAUUUCACAAAACAAUCAAGAGUAAUCAAACUCACUUCAUUAAAAAAUCCCG
rnacentral:lncRNA from 1 species